UCUCGAGGUCACUGGUGGCGCGGAGGAGGAGGAGGUCGGUGCUCUCUUCUCGAGGACGAUGGCAGCGCUGAGGAGGACCUCGGCGCAUCCUCCUCUCCCUCCCGAGUCGGCGCGAAUAUGGGAGGAGACAACGUCGGCCGGGAUGCAUCGUUCCCAACGGCGAGUCCUCUCUUUCCCUCUCUCUGUGGGAUGCGGCGUCGACCAUGAAGUCCGGCACGAGAGAGAGCCGGGCCUCCGCCUUCUCCGCCACAGCUCCUCACCGAGAUGGUGUCCCCCGAUCCUGCCGGUUGGUCCGUCUUCUCCGCGCUCGAUGUCCAGCAGCCUCCCGCCUGCUCCAGAUCUGCGGCACCGGCGACUGAUUCACACACGCUGCCAAUCCUAAUUCGCCGAUUGGACCACUGGAAAUAUCAGGGUCGUCCUCGGCGGCGGCGUACCCGUGAAGCCAACCUUCGUGACCCGGCAUCCUCCUCGCCAUCAGCCCUUCCGAGAUGUAGUGGCAUGAUCCACGGCGCCUUGCUGGGCGCGGCCUUACGCGAUGAAGGUUUCCGUCGGCACGGCCGCGUUGCUGCUCUCUCCAGGUUAAGGUUCGAGACAGACAGAGCACGCAGUCGUUGAUGGAGGCAUUGUGGGUGCUGAUGUGGCACUAAGAUGGCGGAGGACAGACAUAGGAGACCAUGAGAACUUCGUGCACGAGCUUGUUGGCUUUUCGGGCGACCACCACAGCGGGCAACCCGGCGGCCAGACUUCUUGCUCACUUCUUUUGACAUGUCAUGUUGUCGGAUGGUGUCUCAAUUGGUAUGAUUGUCUAACAUCUAGCUGAAUUUAGAUGGAAAUUAAAUUAAUAUGUUUCCGUUGAUCUUUUUAUGUGCUGGAUAAAUAAUCAUGAUUGGGAUGAUGUGUCAGGUACAAAAUAAUCUGUGAGAACUGGCAGAUCAAAUUGCAGAGAGACUAAGGUUGUGAACAUGACAGUGGUCAUUGCUACCAUGCUUCCGCUGAUCUUUUUAUGUGCUGAUUAAGUAAAUAUUGGCACCGUUGUAUUGGCCGGCGAGCCAUUAACAACUAAGCUAACAAGUGGCAUAGUUGAUUAUUUUGUAGUACUUCCAAUUAUAGUUUUUGUCCAAGUUGAAGUUUGAGAUGCGCUUCUAUGUAUGUUAGAUCAGUUCCAUAUUGAUAUUGAAGGAAAAGAGGGAUUCAAGGAAUGUGCCAACAUAAGCUUUCAGGUGCUGCCUAAGUCGUUCAGAAAAUUGAUUUUAUGAUGUAAGAUUUCUCAUGCUCAUUGCUUAACAUUGGCACUAUUAUUUCCUGUGUUCGCAGUCUUUUUCGAGAACCCGCAACUUCCAAUGAUUAUUGUUGAACAGACAUGCCAUAUAUUUGUAGGCUGAUACUUAUGUAAUGCAAAAUGGAAGUAGACUAGGCAAGCAGAAAGUUUGAUUUUGUUCGACAGCUUCUCUUCUGUUCCUCAUAUACAACGGAGUUUUUCCAAAUCAUGCAGAUAGUUUGUUUUCUAUUAAGAAGCUAAUAGCCUAUAGGAGAUGGUGCAUUCCCACGGAAGCUUCUCUUAUGUUCCACAUAUAUAACAGAGUUUUUCCUAAACCUAAAUCAUGCAGAUAGAUUGUUUUCUAUUAAGAAGCUAAUAGCCUUUAGGAGAUGGUACAUUCUCACUACCUACUUUAUCCAGGAUGAAAGUUCGAGGCUUAUAUAUUAUGUAAAGAUCAACAUGUAUAUUGAAAUGCAUGUAUUAUCUUUGAUUUCAAGGCCAUCAUUUUUUACUAUUGAUUGUACUACUUCAAAUCUGCGAUGCAUUGAUCCAUUUUAAGUUCAAAAUUGGGCACUAUCUUAGAAUGCACUGAGGAAAAUAGGGCCUAUAAUAUAACAACUGUAGGAUUCGCAUGGUCUUUAUAUAACCAAGAUGCGCACGUUUUUUUUUCUUGCCCUUGUGAGUACAAAACUGGGAAAGAUUCGAGAUCUUGCUGGGCAAGUGGCCGGUUGACAACAUAUCUGAUGGUAUCGGUUAUGAUCCUUUUUUAUGUGCCAUCGCAUUAUUCUUGCUGUUAUUUUCUUGACUUCAGUUUAGCUUUGUGCCUCACUUGCUGCUUCUCUAGGUUAUGCAUCGAAGUUUAUAUGACUUGGACUUCAUUGUUUCUGACCAUGAGGUACUCCUCCACAAAUCCACACAUAUACACUCUUUCUGCAUAAAUUCCUUGAAUUAUCAGAAAUAAUUUUGGCCCUUUUCCAAAAAAAAAUGUACCACAAUCCACAUUUUCUAUACGAUUAUCACAGAAAAAUUUGAAAUAAACGUUCACCACCAUGAAGAUAAUUCAAGAUUUUGAUUUAGCAAAUCUUUCGAUUUCCUGCACCACACACCAUUCAGAUACUGGUUCUAAGAAUUUUUGUGUAUGUAAGAAGUGAGAACUUAGGAGGUAAGGCAUUGUAAUAUGGAAGACUAUGAUGGUAU